GUGGGGAAUAUUGGACAAUGGGCGCAAGCCUGAUCCAGCCAUACCGCGUGGGUGAAGAAGGCCUUCGGGUUGUAAAGCCCUUUUGUUGGGAAAGAAAUCCUGUCGGUUAAUACCUGGCGGGGAUGACGGUACCCAAAGAAUAAGCACCGGCUAACUUCGUGCCAGCAGCCGCGGUAAUACGAAGGGUGCAAGCGUUACUCGGAAUUACUGGGCGUAAAGCGUGCGUAGGUGGUGGUUUAAGUCCGUUGUGAAAGCCCUGGGCUCAGCCUGGGAAUUGCAGUGGAUACUGGAUCACUAGAGUGUGGUAGAGGGAUGCGGAAUUUCUGGUGUAGCAGUGAAAUGCGUAGAGAUCAGAAGGAACAUCCGUGGCGAAGGCGGCAUCCUGGGCCAACACUGACACUGAGGCACGAAAGCGUGGGGAGCAAACAGGAUUAGAUACCCCAGUAGUCC
rnacentral:rRNA from 1 species